rnacentral:rRNA from 1 species
GACGAACGCUGGCGGCGUGCUUAACACAUGCAAGUCGAACGAAGUGGCGAACGGGUGAGUAAUACGUGGGUAACCUGCCCUCCUUUUUGGGAUAAGCCUUGGAAACGGGGUCUAAUACCGAAUAAAGGGGGAUGGGCUCGCGGCCUAUCAGCUUGUUGGUGGGGUGAUGGCCUACCAAGGCCACGAUGCAUAGCCGACCUGAGAGGGUGAUCGGCCACACUGGGACUGAGACACGGCCCAGACUCCUACGGGAGGCAGCAGUAGGGAAUCUUCGGCAAUGGACGAAAGUCUGACCGAGCAACGCCGCGUGUAUGAAGAAGGCCCUAGGGUUGUAAAGUAUUUUCAGUCGGGAGGCGUUACCGACAGAAGAAGCACCGGCUAACUCCGUGCCAGCCGCCGCGGUAAUUC